rnacentral:lncRNA from 1 species
GGCCACAUGGUGAGGCAUUAGUACCAGUGAUCCCUCCUGCUGAUGUCACCACGCUGAUAAGGAGGGAGCAUGGCUGGUGAAGCCCUUAUCUGUAGAGGCCAUCUGAAAUGGCACUGCACAGGCUGGGAGACAAGCGGCAAGAAAGCAGAAAGGGACCUGGGGUGUUGAUGACAGCAAGGAUGUUAGGGUCCUUGAAGGCAUCAAGAGGAGGGCAACAAAGCAGCCAAUUCUACAUUCCAAGCCUGGAUCGCCUGUACUUUGCUGCCAUUGCUUGUGGCAGGUGUUACCAACAACCAGAGCAAAAGCAGCCAAGUUCACUGCAGCGUGCCAAAAGUGUGCCACAGCCCGGGCCCACAUCUUUGUCCGCAAGGUGCAGCCAAGCACAGCACUCCAGAAGGACAGGAAUCACCAGUGAGCAGUUCCAGUCUGGCUGGUGCUUCUAGGUGAGCUGUUCAGACAUUGACCUGUGUGUAGUUAAACAAAUCAACCCGUCUGCAAGGAUUUGUGCGAGAAAACAAAUGACAGAGCAAACAGAGGACAGAACAGCUGUGACAGCAGUAAGGACUGAGCCUCACCCUUUAAAAGGUUUUCGAGUCUCAGUGAUUCCUAUUACAGAUGGAGUGGAAUUAGGAACCUUGAGUGUGUACUUCUGUCCUCACAGGGGAAUACCGGAGCAAAAAAACAUGCUGUUCUCACAGCUCAAUUACAAUGAGGAAAACACUGACUCUAAUGGCAAGUAAUUGUUGUCUUUGUUCUUUCUGCUCUUUUAUUUUUAAGAGGAUUUUACCUUACACGAAAGUUGCUCAUAGUGAGGGGAACCAGCUAAGGUUCUCAUUGGCAGCUGGGCCUCGUGCUGGGGCUGUGCAGGGGAGCAGUGCAGAGAACGGCAGCUCAGAAAUGAGAGUGAAUUCAUACAUGUCCAGGGGCUCCACACAGCAGCGUCACGGCAUGGCCAAGGCCACAGCUGCAGGCAGUGGUCUGUGCUGGGAACUUCUUCCUGGGCUGCCCAAGGAUUUGCCCCUUUGAAACAAUCCUGAAAGAAGUUUUGUGUACAGCUGCAUUAUAAACAGUUACACAUGGAAGAUGGAUCUGUACUGCAAACAUACGUGGCAGGUGGAUCAAGGACACCCAAAGGACACACACGUGGAGGUGCUGCUGCAUGUAUGCAAGACUUACCAGAAGCAGAAGGUUACAACCGAGGUUAGAUGUACUUCAGCUCUCUAUGAAAAAGGAUCUAAAUAAUCUGGCAGCUUUUCACGUUUGUGAUAUUUUGGAUCAUCACACAGUUUUAAAGAAGCUAUCAGUCCGAAAGGGAAAUGUUCAACCCAACAGGAACUGCUGAAUCAGCUUGAGGUUAUGAUUCCAGCAAGUGGUGGUAGGCUAAAGAACAGACAAAGAUCAGAAGUGAAUUAUAGCUGCAUCACAGGACUAGGCGGGAUGAUGGGCUAAAGCAGCAUUCCUAAAAACAUGACAGCAAAAUCCUUAAACUAAGAGAGCAAAAGAAAGCUUGCAUGAAGUCAUACCACCGUGGCACCUUGGUUCUUCUGUUUCACCAAAUGUGUGUCAUUUGGCUGCACGUUUUACCUCAUUCCUUUGCUCACCUGGUAGAGGGGAAGGAAGAGACUUUCCAAAAUUUACUGCAAGGUGUUGAUGGUUACUUUAAGAUACAAGAGCAGAUUUUUAUGAGCGCGACAUGCAAGCUCUCCUUCAUUGUACUGAGAAUUUGCUCUACCAAUUAGUGUUGUAGUGCUCUUUGUAUCCCCUCUGGAUGCAGGACGUUCUGGGGGGGCACCCUGUGGAAAUGUGAGGGGAGGAAAGCAUGGCAGGAAGCACAUGAGCCUUGUGUAGAAGCAACCGGCGUUGCUUCAAGCAAACAGGUAGCCCUAAGCUUACCACAUCCUGCCAUGAGAAAUGAGCACAGAGAGCGACUACCAAAGAAAAUAAAAACGCAAAACGUUGCCAGGAGGGUGUGGAGGAGAUGUUUCAAAUGCUUCCUGCUGAGAGCGGCAGGCCGGGCCCCUCAGGCCCGGCGUAACAGAACUGCAGAACGGUUUGCGUUGGAAGGGCUCUCAAAGACCACCGAAGGGCACCGUCCACCUGCCG